rnacentral:rRNA from 1 species
AACGAACGCUGGCGGCAGGCUUAACACAUGCAAGUCGAACGCCCCGCAAGGGGAGUGGCAGACGGGUGAGUAACGCGUGGGAACGUGCCCUUCGCUUCGGAAUAGCCCCGGGAAACUGGGAGUAAUACCGAAUACGCCGUAUUGGGAAAGAUUUAUCGGCGAAGGAUCGGCCCGCGUUAGAUUAGCUAGUUGGCGGUGUAAUGGACCACCAAGGCUACGAUCUAUAGCUGGUCUGAGAGGAUGAUCAGCCACACUGGGACUGAGACACGGCCCAGACUCCUACGGGAGGCAGCAGUGGGGAAUCUUGGACAAUGGGCGCAAGCCUGAUCCAGCCAUGCCGCGUGAGUGAAGAAGGCCUUAGGGUUGUAAAACUCUUUCGCCGGAGAAGAUAAUGACGGUAUCCGGAGAAGAAGCCCCGGCUAACUUCGUGCCAGCCGCCGCCGUAACAC